CAGCCGCCACGGUAAUACAGAGGGUGCGAGCGUUAAUCGGAUUUACUGGGCGUAAAGCGUGUGUAGGUUGUUGUUCAAGUCAGUUGUGAAAUCCCUGGGCUCAACCUGGGAACUGCUUCUGAGACUGAACGACUAGAGUACGGUAGAGGGUGGUGGAAUUUCCGGUGUAGCGGUGAAAUGCGUAGAUAUCGGAAGGAACAUCAAUGGCGAAGGCAGCCACCUGGGCCUGUACUGACACUGAGACACGAAAGCGUGGGGAUCAAACAGGAUUAGAGACCCCGGUAGUCCCUGUCUCUUAUAC
rnacentral:rRNA from 1 species